rnacentral:misc_RNA from 1 species
CUCAAACAUAUGUUGGCUAGUAUUGGACUAUCAAUGAUGAUGCAUUUUUCAAGAUGAUAUUAUGCAUCUUUUAUCAAACAAUUGAGAAUUUGUUUUCUGAUGCUUUGGACAUUUUGUAAUGAAUUCCUCAUUGUAUCCUUGAGCAUUUAAUGCACAUUCUUUAUUUUGACAUACUAACAUUAUUGAAACCAAAAUCAUGGAAACAUUAUUGCAAACAUCUAUAUGAGUUACAAUCCAUAAUUUUUUAAAAUUCUUUCCUAGUAUUGAUUUUUGUGCAUUCUAAACAACAAAUUUGGCAUACAACUUGUUGUCAACUGAGGAAUGCAAGCAAGUGAUGCCAUUAAAUUGUUACAGAUGCUUGGUAUACUACAGUGGAGCACAUAAAGGAUGAGUUUUAUUAGCUCUUGGUUCUAUUGAAUUUUCAUUUGAUUACAUUCCGUUACAUUCAAUUACUUUUUACCAAAUAUGCACUUAGUUCAUUGCUUAAUCAGAAUAAAUAAUUAAUGCAAAUUCCCAAAAUUUAUUUAAGAUUCCAAAAUGAACCUGCAUGUUAGCCACAGACCCAGGAAGCAAAAGAAAAAAGAAAUGAACCACAUCAUAC